AGAUUGAACGCUGGCGGCAGGCCUAACACAUGCAAGUCGAACGGUAACAGGAAGCAGCUUGCUGCUUUGCUGACGAGUGGCGGACGGGUGAGUAAUGUCUGGGAAACUGCCUGAUGGAGGGGGAUAACUACUGGAAACGGUGGCUAAUACCGCAUAACGUCGCAAGACCAAAGAGGGGGACCUUCGGGCCUCUUGCCAUCAGAUGUGCCCAGAUGGGAUUAGCUUGUUGGUGAGGUAACGGCUCACCAACGGACCAGCUAGCUAGCCUAGACCGGCGACGAUCCCUAGCUGGUCUGAGAGGAUGACCAGCCACACUGGAACUGAGACACGGUCCAGACUCCUACGGGAGGCAGCAGUGGGGAAUAUUGCACAAUGGGCGCAAGCCUGAUGCAGCCAUGCCGCGUGUAUGAAGAAGGCCUUCGGGUUGUAAAGUACUUUCAGCGGGGAGGAAGGUGUUGUGGUUAAUAACCGCAGCAAUUGACGUUACCCGCAGAAGAAGCACCGGCUAACUCCGUGCCAGCAGCCGCGGUAAUACGGAGGGUGCAAGCGUUAAUCGGAAUUACUGGGCGUAAAGCGCACGCAGGCGGUCUGUCAAGUCGGAUGUGAAAUCCCCGGGCUCAACCUGGGAACUGCAUUCGAAACUGGCAGGCUAGUUCAUCAUCGAUUGAGUCUUGUAGAGGGGGGUAGAAUUCCAGGUGUAGCGGUGAAAUGCGUAGAGAUCUGGAGGAAUACCGGUGGCGAAGGCGGCCCCCUGGACAAAGACUGACGCUCAGGUGCGAAAGCGUGGGGAGCAAACAGGAUUAGAUACCCUGGUAGUCCACGCCGUAAACGAUGUCUACUUGGAGGUUGUGCCCUUGAGGCGUGGCUUCCGGAGCUAACGCGUUAAGUAGACCGCCUGGGGAGUACGGCCGCAAGGUUAAAACUCAAAUGAAUUGACGGGGGCCCGCACAAGCGGUGGAGCAUGUGGUUUAAUUCGAUGCAACGCGAAGAACCUUACCUGGUCUUGACAUCCACAGAACUUUCCAGAGAUGGAUUGGUGCCUUCGGGAACUGUGAGACAGGUGCUGCAUGGCUGUCGUCAGCUCGUGUUGUGAAAUGUUGGGUUAAGUCCCGCAACGAGCGCAACCCUUAUCCUUUGUUGCCAGCGGUCCGGCCGGGAACUCAAAGGAGACUGCCAGUGAUAAACUGGAGGAAGGUGGGGAUGACGUCAAGUCAUCAUGGCCCUUACGACCAGGGCUACACACGUGCUACAAUGGCGCAUACAAAGAGAAGCGACCUCGCGAGAGCAAGCGGACCUCAUAAAGUGCGUCGUAGUCCGGAUUGGAGUCUGCAACUCGACUCCAUGAAGUCGGAAUCGCUAGUAAUCGUGGAUCAGAAUGCCACGGUGAAUACGUUCCCGGGCCUUGUACACACCGCCCGUCACACCAUGGGAGUGGGUUGCAAAAGAAGUAGGUAGCUUAACCUUCGGGGGGGCGCUUACCACUUUGUGAUUCAUGACUGGGGUGAAGUCGUAACAAGGUAACCGUAGGGGAACCUGCGGUUGGAUCACCUCCUU
rnacentral:rRNA from 1 species